GAAAUUAGUCAGGCAAAGGACGUACUUCCUGUUGAGCAGUGCCGAACUUGAGCAAUCGAAGAUUCUAAGCAUUCUGAAAAAAGCCGAGAUAUUACAAGAAGAAAAAGGGGAAAUUGAAACGGAGAAGAUCUAGCCAAGACAUGUUUUAAACCCUUGUGGCUCGUGUCAUGUGACUCAAAGCACGUAGCUCGCGGCUAAAAGCACGUGGCUCGCGACUCAAAGCAUGAAGCUCAUGGCUCGAAGCACUUGGCUCGUUGCUCGUGGCUCGUGGCUCAAAGCACGUGGCUCGUAGCUCAAAGCACGAAGCUCGUGGCUCGAAGCACUUGGCUUGCUGCUCAUGGUUCAUAGCUCAAAGCACGUGGCUCGUGUCUCAAAGUACGUAGUUUGUGGCUCGUGGCACGUGGCACAUGGGUCGUGGCUUACAGAUCUUUAUGUAUAUCUUAGAAAUGAAUUGAGGAGUGGGGCGAAAAUAUUGAGAAUCACAAGUUUCUGUUUGGCGUAUGGUGUUUGGGUGUGACAAAAUUGUAUACUCUCUUAUUUUAAGUUCCUUAUAAAUAAGAGACUGGGGGGCAAUGUUGGGAUGUGAUUAUUUGGGUCUAGCCAUGGUGCAACCUAGUCUAUUUAAU
rnacentral:lncRNA from 1 species